UCCUGUGAUGCACACUGAAGACCCCCACAGU
rnacentral:piRNA from 1 species